rnacentral:rRNA from 1 species
GUUAGUCGGGAAAAGGAGCCCCCUUGCCAUUACACUGCUACCUUCAUUUGACCACUCUAAUGGGACUGCCGACGACAUUCCGGAGAAAGGUGGAGAUGACUUCAAGUCGUCAUGGCCCUUAUAGGUGGGGCUACACACUUCAUACAUUGGCUGGUACAAAGGGUUGCCAUCCCGGAAGGGGGAGCUCACCCCAUAAAGCCAGUCGUAGUCCGGAUCGCAUCCUGCAACCCGACUGCGGGAAGUCGGAAUCGCUAGUAAUCGUGGAUCAAAAUGUCACGGUGAAUACGUUCCCGGGUCUUGUUCACUCCGCCAGU